rnacentral:ncRNA from 1 species
UCAUUUCUGUAGAAAUUUUAUAUGAAUUACUGAUUUAAAUAGUAAGGGUGCACUCUUCAUGAAUUGCAAAAGAGAAUUGGGUUAAUAUUCCCGAACCGGGACAUGGUGGUGGACGACAAUGUUAUAAAAUCUGGAGAUGUCAUCGGGGGCCUAGGAAGAGUUAUAUUUUAUUUUUAAUGACUUUCCCACCCUGAAAUCGGUUCAACUAGAGAUAGGGUCCAACAUAUGGAAGAUCACCACAUGUCUUUCCAUGUUUGGUGCCCCCUCGGUGGCCAUUGAAAAUAUGGAGAACCGAGUACCAUCCAUGCCCGAUCAUA